rnacentral:rRNA from 1 species
GAUGAACGCUGGCGGCGUGCCUAAUACAUGCAAGUCGAGCGAACGGACGAGAAGCUUGCUUCUCUGAUGUUAGCGGCGGACGGGUGAGUAACACGUGGAUAACCUACCUAUAAGACUGGGAUAACUUCGGGAAACCGGAGCUAAUACCGGAUAAUAUUUUGAACCGCAUGGUUCAAAAGUGAAUGACGCUCUUGCUGUCACUUAUAGAUGGUUCCGCGCUGCAUUAGCUAGUUGGUAAGGUAACGGCUUACCAAGGCAACGAUGCAUAGCCGACCUGAGAGGGUGAUCGGCCACACUGGAACUGAGACACGGUCCAGACUCCUACGGGAGGCAGCAGUAGGGAAUCUUCCGCAAUGGGCGAAAGCCUGACGGAGCAACGCCGCGUGAGUGAUGAAGGUCUUCGGAUCGUAAAACUCUGUUAUUAGGGAAGAACAUAUGUGUAAGUAACUGUGCACAUCUUGACGGUACCUAAUCAGAAAGCCACGGCUAACUACGUG